rnacentral:rRNA from 1 species
UCCGGAGGGGGCUAUCGUUGUUCGGAAUUACUGGGCGUAAAGCGCGUGUAGGCGGGUCCUUAAGUCGGGGGUGAAAGGCCGGGGCUCAACCUCGGAACUGCCUUCGAUACUGAGGACCUGGAGUCUGGGAGAGGUGAGCGGAAUUCCGAGUGUAGAGGUGAAAUUCGUAGAUAUUCGGAGGAACACCAGAGGCGAAGGCGGCUCACUGGACCAGUACUGACGCUGAGACGCGAAAGCGUGGGGAGAAAACAGG